UAGGGAAUCUUCGGCAAUGGGGGGAACCCUGACCGAGCAACGCCGCGUGAGUGAAGAAGGCUUUCGGAUCGUAAAGCCCUGUUGUUAAGGAAGAACGAGUGUGAGAAUGGAAAGUUCAUACUGUGACGGUACUUAACCAGAAAGGGACGGCUAACUACGUGCCAGCAGCCGCGGUAAUACGUAGGUUCCGAGCGUUGUCCGGAUUUAUUGGGCGUAAAGCGAGCGCAGGCGGUUAGAUAAGUCUGAAGUUAAAGGCAGUGGCUCAACCAUUGUAGGGUAUGGAAACUGGUUAGAUUGAGGGCAGGAGGGGAGGGUGGAAUUCCAUGUGUGGCGGGGAAAUGCGGAGGUAUAUGGGGGAACACCGGUGGGGAAAGCGGCUCUCUGGGCUGUAACUGACGGUGGGGCUCGAAAGCGUGGGGAACGAACAAG
rnacentral:rRNA from 1 species